rnacentral:rRNA from 1 species
AGUGAACGCUGGCGGUAGGCCUAACACAUGCAAGUCGAACGGCAGCACAGUAAGAGCUUGCUCUUACGGGUGGCGAGUGGCGGACGGGUGAGGAAUACAUCGGAAUCUACUUUUUCGUGGGGGAUAACGUAGGGAAACUUACGCUAAUACCGCAUACGACCUACGGGUGAAAGCAGGGGGUCUUCGGACCUUGCGCGAUUGAAUGAGCCGAUGUCGGAUUAGCUAGUUGGCGGGGUAAAGGCCCACCAAGGCGACGAUCCGUAGCUGGUCUGAGAGGAUGAUCAGCCACACUGGAACUGAGACACGGUCCAGACUCCUACGGGGGGCAGCAGUGGGGAAUAUUGGACAAUGGGCGCAAGCCUGAUCCAGCCAUACCGCGUGGGUGAAGAAGGCCUUCGGGUUGUAAAGCCCUUUUGUUGGGAAAGAAAAGCAGCAGGUUAAUACCCCGCUGUCCUGACGGUACCCAAAGAAUAAGCACCGGCUAACUUCGUG